CCAUCCCACAAUUCACAAUCCUCGUCACUUCUCACCAACCCGAAGCAACCGAAGCUUUACGAGCGAAGCAAAGCGCACCGACACCUAGAAUGGCCAUGGCACCGUCUGCAUCCGCCGUCUCCUUCUCCGCCCGCCCGGCGACCGUCGUCGUCCGGCCGCGCGCCGCCUCCGUCUCGGCCGGGGCCGGCCAGGUCCGCGCCGAGGGAGGCAAGUGGUGGGCGCCGCUGGUCGGGUGGUCCGGCCGGGCCGACUACAUCGAGGCCGCGGUGCCGGCGCCGGCGCCGGUGCUGGUGGAGGAGAAGGCCGGGAGGUCGUUCGUGGGCGGGCUCACGGAGGAGAAGGCGCGGCAGCUGCGGGCGCGCAUGGUGGAGACGGAGAGCUUCCACGACGCCAUGUACCACUCCGCCAUCGCCUCCCGCCUCGCCCGCUCCACCUAAGCCCGGCCGGCCCGGCCGCCCGCCCGCCGCCGUGGAGAACCGAACCAACUCGCCGACACCACCAGAAAAGCUGCCGUGCCCGCGCGCGCGUGUACAUAGUUGUUUCCCUGUUUCUCGUC
rnacentral:lncRNA from 1 species